rnacentral:rRNA from 1 species
GACGAACGCUGGCGGCGUGCUUAACACAUGCAAGUCGAACGGAAAGGCCCUGCUUUUGUGGGGUGCUCGAGUGGCGAACGGGUGAGUAACACGUGAGUAACCUGCCCUUGACUUUGGGAUAACUUCAGGAAACUGGGGCUAAUACCGGAUAGGAGCUCCUGCUGCAUUGUGGGGGUUGGAAAGUUUCGGCGGUUGGGGAUGGAUUCGCGGCUUAUCAGCUUGUUGGUGGGGUAGUGGCUUACCAAGGCUUUGACGGGUAGCCGGCAUGAGAGGGUGACCGGCCACAUUGGGACUGAGAUACGGACCAGACUCCUACGGGAGGCAGCAGUGGGGAAUGUUGCACAAUGGGAGGAAGCCUGAUGCAGAAACGCCGCGUGCGGGAUGACGGCCUUCGGGUUGUAAACCGCUUUCGCCUGUGACGAAGCGUGAGUGACGGUAAUGGGUAAAGAAGCACCGGCUAACUACGUG